AUGAACGCUGGCGGCGUGCCUAAUACAUGCAAGUCGAGCGAACAGACGAGGAGCUUGCUCCUCUGACGUUAGCGGCGGACGGGUGAGUAACACGUGGAUAACCUACCUAUAAGACUGGGAUAACUUCGGGAAACCGGAGCUAAUACCGGAUAAUAUAUUGAACCGCAUGGUUCAAUAGUGAAAGACGGUUUUGCUGUCACUUAUAGAUGGAUCCGCGCCGCAUUAGCUAGUUGGUAAGGUAACGGCUUACCAAGGCAACGAUGCGUAGCCGACCUGAGAGGGUGAUCGGCCACACUGGAACUGAGACACGGUCCAGACUCCUACGGGAGGCAGCAGUAGGGAAACUUCCGCAAUGGGCGAAAGCUUGACGGAGCAACGCCGCGUGAGUGAUGAAGGUCUUCGGAUCGUAAAACUCUGUUAUUAGGGAAGAACAAAUGUGUAAGUAACUAUGCACGUCUUGACGGUACCUAAUCAGAAAGCCACGGCUAACUACGUG
rnacentral:rRNA from 1 species